rnacentral:rRNA from 1 species
UGGCGGACGGGUGAGUAAUGUCUGGGAAACUGCCUGAUGGAGGGGGAUAACUACCGGAAACGGUAGCUAAUACCGCAUAACGUCGCAAGACCAAAGAGGGGGACCUUCGGGCCUCUUGCCAUCGGAUGUGCCCAGAUGGGAUUAGCUAGUAGGUGGGGUAACGGCUCACCUAGGCGACGAUCCCUAGCUGGUCUGAGAGGAUGACCAGCCACACUGGAACUGAGACACGGUCCAG